ACAGACCUGAGUGUGGCAGGACUACCGC
rnacentral:rRNA from 1 species